CAUCCAUCCAUCUUCAACCGCUUAUCCGGAAUCGGGUCGCGGGGACAGCAGCUCCAGCAAAGACCCCCAGACUUCCCUCUCCAGAGCAACAUUUGCGACUUCCUCCUGGGGAAUCCCGAAGCGUUCCCAGGCCAGAGAGGAGAUGUAAUCCCCCCAUCUGGUCCUUGGCCUGCCGGGGGGCCUCCUCCCAGUGGGACGUGCAACGAGGACCUCCCUAGGGAGACGCUCGUGAGGCAUCCGCACGAGAUGCCCGAACCACCUAAGCUGGCUCCUUUCCAAGCGAAGGAGCAGCGGCUCUACUCCGAGUCUCUCUCGGGUGACUGCACUUCUCACCCUAUCUCUAAGGGAGAUGCCAGCCACCCUUCUGAGGAAACUCAUUUCGGCCGCUUGUAUCCGCCAUCUUAUUCUUUCGGUCAUUACCCACACUUCAUGACCAUAGUCUGAUGAUUGACUUGAAUGACUUCAUCCCCGGCGUGGAUCUUCUUACAGCGGUCGGCCGGAGACUAUAGAAGCCCAGAAGAAAAUGCAGGAAAACAAAACCGCCUUCGGCGGCUUUGACAUUGUUGAGGUGGACGAGCUCCAGGUGGGCCGACUGGGACACCAGCGGGUCAGACGACACGCACACGAUAUGCUCGCACACCUCGGACAGAGUCUUACACUGAAGUGGACCAAAAAGAGAGACUUUUUGGGGCAACGAGGGUGCCAAACGACGAUGUGUUCGAAGCAGAAGACAUAAAACGUCAGGUUUUAAGUUUCAUGUGGGCCGAGGAGGAGGAGCCACAGUCAC